AAACACCACUAUAGAUGGACUCUUGGAGGAACACUGCUAGUCACAAAACAUUUAACACGAGCUCAGGAACUCGCCCUAAACACAGGAACAGGACAGAGAGACUCUACAUGCUUGUUGGAUGCAUGAAAAGUAUGAUAUCUCUAUGGUCCACUAAUUGAACCUACUUCCAAAUUAACAGAAUUAAUGUUUAAGAGUUUACCAUUCAGUGAGUAUUUUGAGAAGGUCUAAUUAUGCUUUUGGAAUAUUAUGAAGGUGGUGAGGUGAUGAAGUCAAGACCAAUUCUCCUUGCAUAGAAUAGGAAAAAUUGCCUUAUUUGG
rnacentral:lncRNA from 1 species